CUUGGACACCAAAAUCUGACAAUUUUAUAACAGUGGAACCUGUAGCAAUUAUCAAAAUCUGAUACUUGAAGAUUUCUCCAGCUGCACUUAUGAGAGUCUUGGCAGCAAGAUCUGCUUUGACUAUUUCUGUGCCAAGUAUCAACUCUAUCCCUUUCUCUUUGUACCAUUCAGGAGCUAGCCUCUCCCCUCCACUUCCAACACAUACAUGGAAUCCUGGAAGCCUUGCAGUUCCUUCAGGAAAAAGAUAUGCCUUGCUAAGUGCAGGACGUUCAUAAGGAGCCACCGCCUCCUUGGAGAUGAUUGCUAAUUCACCUGGCUCAACCCCUUGCUUGGCAAACUCCCUAGCUGCAUAUCCAGCCGCGACGCCACCACCGACGAUCACGUACUUGAAGCUCUUCUCCACCAUUUGAUUAGUUGGUCCUCUGCCUCUCACUCUCUCUCUCUCUCUCUCUUUCC
rnacentral:misc_RNA from 1 species